rnacentral:rRNA from 1 species
UACGUAGGGUGCAAGCGUUGUCCGGAAUUAUUGGGCGUAAAGAGCUCGUAGGCGGUUUGUCGCGUCUGGUGUGAAAAUCCAGGGCUUAACCCUGGACCUGCAUCGGGUACGGGCAGACUAGAGUGCGGUAGGGGAGAUCGGAAUUCCCGGUGUAGCGGUGAAAUGCGCAGAUAUCGGGAAGAACACCCGUGGCGAAGGCGGUUCUCUGGGACGGUACUGACGCUGAGACGCGAAAGCGUGGGGAGC